rnacentral:antisense_RNA from 1 species
GGAUAUUUGAUAGUAGGAAAUCAAGGCGUUUUUCAAAAAAACUUAUAUAAAAACUGCUGUUUUCAAAUAUAUCUUCUCUAUUAUUAAUCUCCCUAUAUUUGGAAAUUAUAAUCAAUUUUCUAAUUGAUAUCACAAAAGUUAAAAUGCUUACUUCAUCAAUUAAAACGCUCCCAAAAAGUUCGAUACUUAUUAGUUGGGUCGGACACUCCUUUAUACAAUCAUAAACUCUUUUAAACAGAUUAAUUUGACUCUUUAUUUGCGUCCCCCAUUGUUCAAAAUGGAGCUCAAUUUUCGAUAUUUCAUCUGAAUUUAGUGUUUUUUGGCUUAUAGCUUUAAAAUAUUUGAAAAUCUGACAAGUUGCUACCUGGGAAAUAUUCAAAUAUUCGUUACAAAUAUUAUCAAUCUCCCUUGGGAAAAAUACGGAGUUAUUUUGAGUUUCCAUACUCCGUAAACUUUCAGAUAUUACGUCCAAGAUUAUUAUCGAAAAUAAACAUGAAUUCUGGUCAUUAAGCAAGACAAUUUGUUUAAUUUGAUUUUCGUAUUCGUUAUAGCAAUUUAAGCCACUGCCGUGAGAAUCUUCAUUUUGAUGUAAGAAGUUACUACAGAAAUAUUUGAUAAUAUGGAUAAACGAAUUAAAAGUAAGAAUUGCUUUAUUUUCGAUGGACGCAGCUUCGUCAGUUAUUAAAUAAAUUAAACAAACCAUUAAGUUGUACCAAUAAUUGUGGUUAAAACACAACAAAAAAAGAAUUGUUCCUUCAUGAAUAUCAUUAAUGCCAAU